AGUAACAAGAAAAAGGGGGGAAUGAGAGGACCACACCCUAAAAAUGGCGCUGGCUCUGGUUUAGUUUGGGUGAAUAGGGGCACUCAAGAUGCUAGCAAAAUCAGAUGAGUUGGUAUUUAGGAAGAUGUUACCAUAUAAGGUAAUAAGGUUCAUUGGCUUCUGCGAUUGGUUUACAUUACAUGGGGUGAUGUAGGGAGAAGGUAUAAAAGAUAGAUAAGCCCGAUAGAGGGCGCUGCAGUCUUGGUAACACUCUCUGAGUGUGCUGCAGUCCUGCGCAGUAAUAAAUGGUGUUUUGUUUCUCUUGA